rnacentral:rRNA from 1 species
AUUGAACGCUGGCGGCAGGCCUAACACAUGCAAGUCGAGCGGAUGAAGGGAGCUUGCUCCUGGAUUCCGCGGCGGACGGGUGAGUAAUGCCUAUGAAUCUGCCUGGUAGUGGGGGAUAACGUCCGGAAACGGGCGCUAAUACUGCAUACGUCCUGAUGGAGAAAGUGGGGGAUCUUCGGACCUCACGCUAUCAGAUGAGCCUAGGUCGGAUUAGAUAGUUGGUGGGGUAAAGGCCUACCAAGGCGACGAUCCGUAACUGGUCUGCGAGAAUGAUCAGUCACACUGGAACUGAGACAGGGUCAAGACGCCUGAGAGAGGCAGCAGUGGGGAAUAUUGGGCAGUGGGGGAGAGCAUGGUACAGCCAGGGCGCGUGUGUGAAGAAGGUCUUCGGAUUGUAAAGCACGUUAAGGGGGGAGGAAGGGCAGUAAGUUAAGACCUAGCUGUUUUGACGUUACCAACAGAAUAAGCACCGGCUAACUUCGUG